rnacentral:rRNA from 1 species
CUGCCNAGUGAAAAUUAUUUAACGGCCGCGGUAUCCUAACCGUGCAAAGGUAGCAUAAUCACUUGCCUAUUAAUUGUAGGCUAGAAUGAACGGAUAAACGAAAUAAAAACUGUCUCAAUUAGUCACAUAAAAAUUAUUCUCUAUAUGAAGAAAAAUAGAUAAAUUCGAAGGACAAGAAGACCCUAUAGAGCUUUAUUUAUAUCAUAAAUUCAAAUUAUGAAAAAAUUCGGUUGGGGCGACCAAGGGAACAAAUAUCACCCUAUAAAACACAGAUACAUAAAUCAAUUAAUUGACCCUUUAAAGAUCAUAAAAUCAAGCUACCUUAGGGAUAACAGGCUAAUCCUAUUUAAGAGUUCAUAUCAACAAUAGGGUUUGGCACCUCGAUGUUGGCUUAGGGUAUCAACAUAGCGCAAAAGUUAUGCAUAGAUGGUUUGUUCAACCCAAUAAC